GUGAAAUCACCUGAAGGGCAGGUCAUGUGGCUGACUCAAGCCUUGGGGGGUGGGUAGAGAAGCCAGAAGCUUGUACAGACCAAGAGGGGGACUAUAGCAUCGACAGCACUUGAAGAACAAAGGAAGCAGCAUUAGACUAUGGAGGGAUCCUGAGUGAAAGAAUUCAGACAAUAAGAUUGCUAGAAUGUGUGGGGGGACAGCAAAUGCCAACAAGCACAUUCUGUCCUGGGGUUUGAUCCAACGCCCCACUGAAAUGAAUAGAAAGAUUCCCAUUGACUGCCAUGAACUUUGGAUCCAGCCCUUACCUCCUGUUCAAACAGGUGACAUGGCAGUGGACAAAGCAUAUGCACUAGCAUUUAAUAUCACACUCCUCUUGUGUGGGAAUUUGCAACUUUUGAACUGUCCCUGUUCUCUUGUUACUUGGAAUUCAGGGACGGUUGAGUGAACUUGUAUAGCUUUCGGAUUGUUGGGGUUUUUGUUUUUAUUUUUAAUUAAAACUUUUUUAUGGAAAUUUUCACAUAUUUACAAAUGACCAGUUCUAACAAAUGCAGAAUUUUCAUGUAGUCAAUAUGAAAUACUGGAAUAUACUUUGAAGCCUGAAGAUUAGGAUAUCCUAUUUAAGACAUGUGUAUGAUCUUAGCCAUGCCACAAAGCCUCUUUUGAAGAUCGAGUCUAUCCAAGUCAAAUUUUCAAUAAUUAUAAAAAUACUGGGUCAGAUUCACUGUGGUGUAACUCCAUUGAUGUCAGCGGAGUUAAACCACAGACAAAUAAGGCUAAAAGUCCUUUAUGGAAAAAGCAUGAAAUGAAAAAGGCCUCAGCAAUUAAACUAACAGGCUUUUCAACACAAAAGGGAGAGAAACGAAGAGGUUUGUGUUUUGCCUAAUCAGUUUUGCAUCCUUAAAUACACCCUGCGUGAAGAAUUGAAAUCUAGAAAGAGCCAAGUCUUCGCACUCCUAGCCAGAUCCUCGCUAAAGCCCUGAAUACGACGUGUCAUGAUGAUUAAUUGUGGGUAAUGAGUGUUUUAUGAACCUAAGAAAGAAACACAUUUGUUUCUCUGGUACUGUAGUUGUAGACUCCUGUUUUGUUUUAAAGCUUUAGAUAUGCAAAGCCAAAGAGAUGAUGAAACCCCUCUCUCAGCUCUUUUGUUUAUUUAUGGAACAGCUACUAUUAGAGGUGCAGGGUCAGAUUCCACUCACACGAGUAGACCCGUUGGCCUCGGUAGCCCUGUGCGAGCAAGGAAGGAUUUGACACAAAGUACUGUAAUUUUCUAUUUUUCCUUUCAGAAAAGAUUAAAAUGGCAUCCUGACGUAGAAAAACUAAGGAAAAUGGGUUCUGUGGUCAUCUGCCAUAGAAAAUCAAUGUGACUGACAGCAGGCUAGCAUGCUACUCCAUGUGAAUAAGGGUGGCAGAAUGAGACCCUCAAUGAAAUGGCCUGUUCGUUGUGACUUGCUAAUUGUGGCCCUGAUCCAGACCCCAUUGCAGUCCAGUGGGAUAUAGGGAAUAUAGGGGUUUCCAUUGACUUUGAGCUUCUGAUCAGGCCCUAAGUGUCCAGUCCAGACACUCAUUGAAUAGAUUCAUAAAAGCUUAAGGAAAGCCUGGGGGCAGUAGCAGAGGUCCAGCACAGGUUGACUCUGCCUACCCAUGAACAUUGGUGUGGAUUUCAGCUGUUCUCUAUCGAGAGCAGAAACGGGGGCAUGGCCAAUGGUUCUGCAAGUGACCUGGAUCCGUGUGGCCUCCUUUCAGUGCAGGACAGGAAUAGGCGGCCUUAUAUUCUUCUCUGCAGCAGCCAGCACUGCAGGUCCUUGCAGACCCCUCUAGUGGGGUUAGGACUCCCCAGCUCCACAAGAGUUUCACUUGAAUGCAGCCCUUAAUUUGAGGCAAUGCUCAGUCUUGGGUCUAUUUUAAUUCACCAGUGUGGUACAGUAGGCCAGAUUCUGCAGAGGGAUUAAUAUAGCUGGACCUUUACUCCUAUGCAGAGUCCCACUGAUAUUAGUGGAACUCCAUGAAUUAGGGCCUAAUUAGAUAGUAUAAUUACACUAACAUUUUAAAGGGGUUGGGGGAGAGGGAAUAACUCUUCUCAUUCAGACUUGGUCUAUUGUUGUUCUUCAGUGUGCCAGAAGGUGGUGCAAAAUCACUGCUCAUCCCACCAAUGAAGACAAAACUCAUUCUCAGUUUUUCAAAGACUACUCUACAACUAUCCAAGUAUAGUGCCAACUGGGAAAAAUAUGAGCCUCAACCUUAAUAGCUUUUUCUUAUUAUCCUAUGCAAUAUGGUAUGAAUUUAUGCCUGGGAAUAAAUAAUGAGUGGUAAGAGAAUUGAAGAGAAUUUGGACAAUUCUAAAUGAUAUUUUAAUGCGAUAAUAAUAAUUACAAAAGGGAUUUCAAAUGUGAUUAUGUUUAUAGGACAAAAAAGUCUUUGUUUCAUUGAAUGCAUAAAAAACACUGGGGAUACACUAAUUUACCUCUAUGUAUUUGUUUCCUCCUCUUUGUAUGAAUGCUUAUUUCUUGUUUUAACUCUGUUUAAAAGAUUUUCAUAGCCAAUAUAUUAUUCCCAUGUGGUAUUUGAAAUGGAAACAGUUAUUUUAUGGAAAAAAUAUUGUCAGAUACAUCUAAGUCAAAGGAGGCAAUAGCUUUGAAUGCUGAAUAUUCCUUUGUAUUUAAAAAUAAAUAAA